AGUGAACGCUGGCGGUAGGCCUAACACAUGCAAGUCGAACGGCAGCACAGUAAGAGCUUGCUCUUACGGGUGGCGAGUGGCGGACGGGUGAGGAAUACAUCGGAAUCUACUUUUUCGUGGGGGAUAACGUAGGGAAACGUACGCUAAUACCGCAUACGACCUACGGGUGAAAGCAGGGGAUCUUCGGACCUUGCGCGAUUGAAUGAGCCGAUGUCGGAUUAGCUAGUUGGCGGGGUAAAGGCCCACCAAGGCGACGAUCCGUAGCUGGUCUGAGAGGAUGAUCAGCCACACUGGAACUGAGACACGGUCCAGACUCCUACGGGAGGCAGCAGUGGGGAAUAUUGGACAAUGGGCGCAAGCCUGAUCCAGCCAUACCGCGUGGGUGAAGAAGGCCUUCGGGUUGUAAAGCCCUUUUGUUGGGAAAGAAAAGCAGCAGGUUAAUACCCCGCUGUUCUGACGGUACCAAAAGAAUAAGCACCGGCUAACUUCGUG
rnacentral:rRNA from 1 species